rnacentral:lncRNA from 1 species
AGUCCCACAGUGUCAGCUUGCUCCACCACUCACUCCUGAACUACUGACAAGAGUCCCACAGUGUCAGCUUGCUCCACCACUCACUCCUGAACUACUGACAAGAGUCCCACAGUGUCAGCUUGCUUCACCACUCACUCCUGUACUACUGACAAGAGUCCCACAGUGUCAGCUUGCUCCACCACUCACUCCUGAACUACUGACAAGAGUCCCACAGUGUCAGCUUGCUCCACCACUCACUCCUGAACUACUGACAAGAGUCCCACAGUGUCAGCUUGCUUCACCACUCACUCCUGUACUACUGACAAAAGUCUAACAGUGUAA